GCGUGCCACUCCUAUGGAUGAUCUUCCUUGUUCCCGACAUUAAAGCUGACUUCCUCGUGACCACCAUAUAGCUGUCCGACUGCAUAAGAUGUGUGUAGUGCCGGUUAUAUCUCGUAUACUGGAAUUGAUCAUUCUAGGUACACUACUCAACAAUGGACUUGUUCAUGGACAAGUCAACAUUGCUCUUGAUCGUCCAGCAAACUCCAGCAGUGUAUUCUCCGAAAAAGGGAAUACCUAUGGGCCAGCCUCUAAGGUAGUUGAUGGGAACACGGAUCCAUUUCUAGAUGGCAACAGUUGUCUGCUGACUGACAGAAUUACUACCUCUUUGGCUUGGUUGUGGAUUGACCUCGGGAACACGUCGGUGGUCCAGCGGAUUGAACUGACUAAUAGAAAAGGCGGGAAUGAGGAAAAUAAUACACCUAAAAAAGAUGUCGACCACAAAGAGCAUCUGAAAGGUUUUGCCAUGGCUGUCAGCAAUACGACACAGAUACCUCCAGUGAAUUCAGAUGUCUGCUACAGUCACCCGGGCAAUGGCCUACCAGCCGUGUUUCAAAACAGGACAUGCAAAACUGGCCACCAAAUAGGACGAUAUGUGAUAAUAUACAACACGAGGCAACCUUCUAAAGAUGCCAGACUGGAAAUAUGUGAAGUAAAAGUAAUAGGUUGUUUUGCUGGAUAUUACGGCAAAAACUGCUCAAGUCCCUGUGGUCACUGUAUUGACGGUCAGUGCAUGCCGAACAAUGGUUCUUGUAUGCUUGGGUGUACGGAAGGGUACCGUUGGGACAGGUGCACUGAAGAAUGUUUUGCUGGAUAUUACGGCAAAAACUGCUUAAGUCCCUGUGGUCACUGUAUUGACGGUCAGUGCAUGCCGAACAAUGGUUCUUGUAUGUUUGGGUGUACGGAAGGGUACCAUGGGGACAGGUGCACUGAAGAAUGUUUUGCUGGAUAUUACGGCAAAAACUGCUCAAGUCCCUGUGGUCACUGUAUUGACGGUCAGUGCCUGCCGAACAAUGGUUCUUGUAUGCUUGGGUGUACGGAAGGGUACCGUGGGGACAGGUGCACUGAAGAAUGUGACAAAGGCAGUUACGGUAUGCACUGUGACAGAAUAUGUGGGAUCUGUGAUCAAAAUGAAACCUGCAAUCACAUAACAGGAUCUUGUACCAAUGGAUGCGCUAGUGGACAUAGUGGGCAAAAGUGUACUCGUGUGAACCUUGCCUUUGGGAGACCGACUGCUGUCAGUGGGAACUCAACCAACUUACACUCCGAUGUAACAGUGGACGGGAACAAGACGGAUGGCCAAUGUAUCACCACGUCGCGUGGUGCCAAGUACGCGUGGUGGAGGGUCGACCUGGGUCGACUGGCUAUUAUAAGUCAUGUUACCAUUGACAUCACCACAAGCAACAAGUCUAAGAGUCUGUUAGGAAAACGUCUGCACGGAUUUGAGAUCACAGUCAGCGAGGAGGAAUUGAGUACAGAGAGUGAUGUAUGCUAUACAGACAGGGAUCCACGGUUACCAAACCUAAUACAGAACCGCACGUGUGAAAUGGUCGGCAGAUAUGUCGAGAUUAGUAUUGAUCGGAGAAAUGGAACUACAAGAAACCCAAACAAAACUUAUAAAUACAGUAUAAAUGCUGUUUUGGAAUUGUGCGAAGUACAAGUUACAGGAUGCGUACCAGGGUCGUAUGGCGAAAACUGUGAGCUUUCUUGCCCAGCACAAUGCACGGAUAACAUGUGUUUCUCUAAUGCGACCUGUGUGUUUGGAUGUGAUGCCGGGUACCAGGAAACCUUUUGUAACGAAACUUGCGAAAAUGGAUAUUUUGGCAUAAAUUGUCAACUGACGUGUGGCCAUUGCUUGAAUAGCCGAAAUUGCAAUCCUGUGAACGGAGUAUGCCCCCUUGGUUGUGAAACAGGAUGGAUUAGUGAAAAGUGUAAAACACCAUGCACUUCCGGUUAUUAUGGUGCCAACUGUACUGAAGAAUGCGGAAGCUGUGUAAACUAUACAGCCUGUAAUCAUACUAACGGUGUCUGUCAUGAUGGCUGUGCUUCCGGUUUCAAAACAACACCAUCUUGUCAGGAAAAAUGUGAAAACCACACCUUCGGGUUGAAUUGCUCACAGAGUUGCGGUACGUGUAGGAACGAGUCAGCUUGCGAGCAGACGACAGGAAUAUGUACGGAAGGUUGUGAUCCGGGUUGGCAGGAACCUUACUGCAAUGCUGAAUGCCUAAACCAUACGUACGGUCAUAACUGUUCAUCCCAGUGCGGUCAUUGUCGAGAUGGGGUCCCCUGCAACGUUACUGACGGUCGCUGUUUGGAUAUUUGUGAACCGGGUUGGCAACUUCCCAAUUGUGAAAUUGAGUGUGAAAAUGGUACAUUCGGGACCAAUUGCACAAAUACAUGCGGAAAGUGUGAAGCUGGUUCUAGCUGUGACAAUGUGAACGGGGCCUGUACAGAGGGAUGUGAGCCGGGCUGGCAACCUCCGAUGUGUAUAACAGAAUGUCAGACUGGUUUCUAUGGUGAUCAAUGUCAUGAAGUUUGUGGAGCGUGCGUGAACGGUACCAAUUGUCAUCAUGUCAACGGAACAUGUGAACACGGAUGUGACGAAGGUUGGCAAGGCAACACAUGUGAUAAAGAAUGCGAUGCCGGAUUCUACUGGGAAAACUGUGAAGAAAAAUGCGGCAACUGUAAACAUGGGACCACUUGUAACCGUACCGAUGGAAAAUGUCCUGACGGCUGUGACAAUGGAUGGAAAGGCCAACAUUGCGACGAGGAAUGUCAGACUGGUUUCUAUGGUGAUCAAUGUCAUGAAGUUUGUGGAGCGUGCGUGAACGGUACCAUAUGUCAUCAUGUCAACGGAACAUGUGAACACGGAUGUGACGAAGGUUGGCAAGGCAACACAUGUGAUAAAGAAUGCGACGCCGGAUUCUACUGGGAAAACUGUGAAGAAAAAUGCGGCAACUGUAAACAUGGGACCACUUGUAACCGUACCGAUGGAAAAUGUCCUGACGGCUGUGACAAUGGAUGGAAAGGCCAACGUUGCGACGAGGAAUGUCAGACUGGUUUUUAUGGUGAUCAAUGUCAUGAAGUUUGUGGAGCGUGCGUGAACGGUACCAUAUGUCAUUAUGUCAACGGAACAUGUGAACACGGAUGUGACGAAGGUUGGCAAGGCAACACAUGUGAUAAAGAAUGCGAUGUCGGAUUCUACUGGGAAAACUGUGAAGAAAAAUGCGGCAACUGUAAACAUGGGACAACUUGUAACCGUACCGAUGGAAAAUGUCCUGACGGCUGUGACAAUGGAUGGAAAGGCCAACGUUGCGACGAGGUGUGUGAUCCAUUCUCAUAUGGUGCCUCUUGUUCAAGUAUAUGUGGACACUGCCUUCACACGGAAUCAUGUAACCAUAUCAGUGGAAUGUGUGCCAAUGGCUGCGAGAACGGCUGGAUGUCGCAAGAAUGUGACCAAGAAACUGAACAGACAAGUUCUGGUGCUGCUAUUGGUGCUGGUGUUGGAAGUAGUGUUGUUGUUGUUUUGGUGGUAAUUGGAAUAACUAUAUUUUAUGUUAUGAAGAGAAGAAGAUCAUCAAAUCCUCCAGAAUCAGAAGAACUUGUUGGAAUGCCUACGGUUGACAUACCCAUGUUUUUGUCCAAAAAACUUCACUCAAAUGAACUACAUGAAGAAUUCAAGCAACUUCCUGGUGGUGCUGUCCAUGCCUGCGAUGCUGGUCAAAGACCUGAAAACAAAUCUCGAAACCGCUUUCUGACAACGUUUCCAUAUGACCAUUCACGCGUGAUUUUGAGAGGCGAAGGAAACGAUUACAUCAACGCUAACUAUAUUGACAGUUUAGAGAAAAAAAAUGCAUAUGUGGCCACUCAAGGCCCAAAAAAGAAUACCUUAGGAGACUUUUGGGCAAUGUUGUGGCAGAAUAAAUCGGACAAAAUCAUCAUGCUGGCCAACUGUAUCGAGAUGGGCAAGCCUAAGGUAGAGCAGUAUUGGCCGGAUAAGGGACACUCGCGCGACUUUGGAGAUUACCGAGUGGUGACAACCAAUGAACAAAUAUUUGCCGCCUUCACCGUCAGAACGUUGUCGCUGUAUGGGAACACGUGCCAGACACCAAUGGAGAUUAUGCAGUUUCACUUUACAAAAUGGCCGGAUCAUGGUACACCGGACAUUAUACACCUUGUGAACUUCUACAGACAUGUGCAGUCAACUAAAACCAAACAUCACGGUCCAAUGGUUGUACAUUGCAGUGCGGGAAUCGGCCGGACCGGGACGUUUAUAGCUAUCGAUGCGCUGGUUCACUACGGCACACUGCAAGGCAAUGUGGAUCCUUUAGAUUACGCCAAACUGAUGAGACAGAAUCGAAUGAACAUGAUUCAAACGAAGCAUGUCAUUUGAUAUAUUUCACCUACAAUAGCAACGGGCUGCAACCAAGUUUAUGUGUUCGGCUUUGUCCUCUCUAAGCAAGAGCAGUACGUUGCUGUCCACGAGGUGUUAUUGGAUCACUUUAUCUGUGACGAUUUUACACUGACAAUAGAAGAAUUUCAGGACGAC
rnacentral:misc_RNA from 1 species